rnacentral:rRNA from 1 species
UUUUUUGUGUCUCGGUCGAAUUGCGUUAGANAUAUGGGAGGAACACCGGUGGCGAAAGCGGCUCUCUGGUCUGUAACUGACGCUGAGGCUCGAAAGCGUGGGGAGCGAACAGGAUUAGAUACCCUGGUAGUCCACGCCGUAAACGAUGAGUGCUAGGUGUUGGAUCCUUUCCGA